AUACGGAGGGUGCAAGCGUUGUGCGGAUUCACUGGGUGUAAAGGGUGUGCAGGCGGGGUGGUAAGUCAGAGGUGAAAGCCCACGGCUCAACCGUGGAAUUGCCUUUGAAACUGCCAUUCUUGAGUUUCGGAGAGGUCGCUGGAAUUCGUGGUGUAGCGGUGAAAUGCGUAGAUAUCACGAGGAACACCGGAGGCGUAGGCGGGCGACUGGACGACAACUGACGCUGAGGCACGAAAGCGUGGGGAGCAAACAGGAUUAGAAACCCCAGUAGUCC
rnacentral:rRNA from 1 species